rnacentral:rRNA from 1 species
AUUGAACGCUGGCGGCAUGCUUUACACAUGCAAGUCGAACGGUAACAGGCCUUCGGGUGCUGACGAGUGGCGAACGGGUGAGUAAUGCAUCGGAACGUGCCCAGAGGUGGGGGAUAACGCAGCGAAAGCUGUGCUAAUACCGCAUGUGAUCUGAGGAUGAAAGCGGGGGACCAGGCAGCAAUGUUUGGCCUCGCGCCUUUGGAGCGGCCGAUGUCAGAUUAGGUAGUUGGUGGGGUAAAGGCCUACCAAGCCGACGAUCUGUAGCUGGUCUGAGAGGACGACCAGCCACACUGGGACUGAGACACGGCCCAGACUCCUACGGGAGGCAGCAGUGGGGAAUUUUGGACAAUGGGCGCAAGCCUGAUCCAGCAAUGCCGCGUGCGGGAAGAAGGCCUGCGGGUUGUAAACCGCUUUUGUACGGAACGAAAAGGCUCUGGCUAAUACCUGGGGCUGAUGACGGUACCGUAAGAAUAAGCACCGGCUAACUACGU